ACACGUGACCCAGGGGCUUUGGGCCCGGCGCUGUCGGCGCCUCCGCGCGUGCUUACGCACGUUGUGCGCGCGCGCGUCAGCCCCGCCGGCGUUCCCGGUCACGUGUCCGGGCGCCGCGUGCUCCCAGGGGCCCCCGCGCGGGACCCGCUUUCUCCGCGCGGCGUGUCCGCCCCGGACCGAGCCGCGGCGGGCCUGCGGCGUGCGGAGAGGGGGCCCCGGGCCUCUGCGCCGCGGGGCCUUCACGGCGACCGGCUGGGCGAGAGCGCGCGAGCGGCGACUGGGGCUCGCAGGCUAGUCCCCGCCCCGCCGCCAGCCGGGCGUGUGACCUUGGGGAAUCCCCGCCCCCCCGAGCCUCGGUGUCUCCGUCUGUGCGGUGGCUCUGGGCCGGGCAGCGCGCACAGUGCCUGCUCCAAACGGCUGCCGGGCGCGCAGGGAGACAGCCGUGCAGGGUCCGGUCCCGGCCGUCCGGGGCGUGGCCGGCCGCUGACCCCCGCCUCGUCAGCCCCCGCGGGCGGGACGAGGCUGCGGGCUGCGUGGGCCUCGCUCGUCCCGGCGCGACCCGCCGGCCUGAGCGGCCACGGCCCGACCUGGGCGGCGGCUGCUGCCUGUGGCGGUGCCGCUGGCCCUCGCUAGGUGGCACUGCCGCCGGGGACCGAGCGGCGGACCGUCCGGAGGCUUGGAGGCCCGCGGCCGGCCUCCUCCUGCCCCGGGCCCCGGCGCAGCGUGCGGUGGGGCCCGGGGAAUUCUGCUGGCCAGGUUGCCCGGGCUAAAACGCCUGGGCUUUGCGGGGAGCGGGCUGCAGACCCUGGUGCGCGGGGCUGGGCCACUCGUGUAUCUGGUCAGGGCGGCUGAGCAAGGCCUCCUUCGGCCGACUUGGGCUCUGGGCACUUAGAGGCGGCUGAGGCGUGCUCUGCUCGCUGGGGCCCUUGUCUCCUUGGGGGAGCCCGAACGGUUGGCUCCAGGUCCCCUUCGUGUCCGUGGGUGCAAGACGGUAGCAUAGAAGAGGCUGUGGCAGCCGUGCCCACUUCCUGAGUCAGGGUGUCUUGCAAGUAUGUCUAGUCCCCAGCAACUGCGCAAGAGUGAGCAAGGCGAGAGGGGCAGAGGGAGAGGAGAGAAAAUCCGAAUAAGCAAGCUCGGUGCUCAGCCCGGUGCAGAGCUGGACGCGGGGCUCGAUCGCAUGACUGAGAUUAUGACCCGACCCAAAACCAAGAGUCAGAUGCUUAACCGACUGGGGGACCCAGGCGCCCCUGAAUUCCAUAUUUUGUAAAGGGUUUUAACAGAAGGAAACAAACUGACGAGACACUCCCACGGCGUUUCACGGACUCCAGAAAGUCAAAAGUCGUGGGCACUGAGGGGAGAGGGGUGUCUUCCUCUCUGCUGAUCUGUUUGGUGCCUCAGCUCUCGGGCUGGGAGAGCCCUCUGGUAGAAGCCUAGCGUGGAGUCCUAUCUGCUGAAAUGUGGAGGGCAGGGGCAUUAGACAUGAAGGGAAGUGAUGGUUACAGUCACUUGACGAAUCCUCGGGUGCUAGGGAAGCAGGAGUGAGUAAAACAAAACUCCCCGCUCUUGUGCAGCCUGCGUUCCAUUGGGGGAAGCUGAUACGGCAAAGCCAGCUGACUCACGAGACCCAGGAUGCCACCUGCCGCACGUGAGGUAGCGCUGAGUGCGUCCGACCCUGUCCUCACCCUUCCCUGCGUUCAGCCCGGUGGGAGGUCAGACAUACGCAGGCCCUUCACUGCAGCUAUGGGACGUGCCUCAGAGGACAAGACUGGAGCUCGGUGAAGGCAUCCCGCAAGAGGCGGCACGCUAAAUCCUGAAGGAUAAGUAGCAUUCCUCAGGGGGAAAGGGCUGGGCGCUGUCCCUGGCAGGAAGGAUGGCGUGUGGGAAGGUUCUGAGGUAGGACCAGAGCAAGCCGGAGGAAGGGCCGGAAGGCUGUGUCUGGAGAGGGACACAGAUGAGGCAGGCAGAGGUCAAGUCUUGGUAGAUAUUCAAAACCAUGUUUAGGAACUUGGGCUUGACUUUAAGAUCAAGGAGGACCUUAUCCAGGCAAGUUACUCAGCCUUUCUGUGCUUUGGGUUCUGUUCCUGUAACAGGGAGAUAGUCCUCGCACCUACCUCAUACGGUUGUUGGGAGAUUGGGCAACAUAACAUGAGGAAAGUGCUUAGAGUGGCGCACCUGGUAAAGAACUUUCAAGGUUUUUGGAAAGUGGAGGAUCAGCAUACCUUGAGUCUCAGGAGAGGAGAGAGGGUAGGAAAUGAGGCCAGUGGCGAAAGCGGGGGUUGAGUUGCGGAGACCACGGUAGGUUGUGCGGGUUUUAUUCAGAGUGCAGAGGGAAACCAAGGCAGGUUUUAAGCUAGGAAUGGCAUGAUCUGAUUUAAAAUGUUAAAAGGUCAUUCUGGCUGCUCUAUUAAAAAUGAACUGUAGAGUGAGUUUGUUUUUUUUUUCUCCGAAAGGGCAUGUGUUAUCAGAGUGAGCAGAUGCACCUGUUUGGGACACAGUGAGCGGCUUUCUCCUUUGACAAGCUCCCAGAAGCACAGUAUUCUGUCACAGACUCAACACAUAUGUGCCAGGCACUGGCUCUUUGUGGGGAACCGUAGGGGCACUGGGGAGGCAGCAACUCCUGGCACAGAGAGGAGGCUCCUUCCACGACAGCUGCUACUCACUUGAUCCUGAGCACACAGUAGUGGAUAAACUGGAGGCGGAUGUCAUCAACUGUAAUACAGAGUGAUGAACAGAGGGAUCAAGAGCGAUAAGGGCCUUGAAGGGUGAUAUUAGUCAGGAAUAACUCCCAAGAAGGAAUGUAAAGAAGUUACUUAGAUGGAAAUGGGGGGACAUUCUGAAAGAACUGGGCCUGAAAGUAGAAGGAGAUCGGGAAGAAAGGUAAGGGAGAAGAGGGGACAAGGAGAGGGCUCAGCAGAGGCAAGAGGGGUAGAGGUGUUCGCCUUUGGAGCUUGAGCCUGAGGCCCCAGGGCAACUCCGAUAGUACCAAGCCAGAGGAGGUCAAUUUACCAAUACAGCAGUAAUUUAAAAAUUUAAAAAUCUUUGAUCCAUCAACGUCACUUGGAAAUUAUUAAAGAAAUGUGCAGAAAUUUUCCUGCAGUGGAAUACACUGCAGCUAUUAAAAAUAGUUACCAAAGAACACUCACUGACAGAGGUAUUUGAGAAACAGUAAGUGGAAGUUACAAGUCUAGAUUUACAGAGUGCUCCUUUAUUUUUUAAUUUUUUAAAAAUUUUUUAAAUUUUAAUUUUUAAAAAUUUUUAAAAAUUUUUUAAAAAAUUAGAGCAGGUGAGAGAGCACAAGCAGGGGGAGCUGCAGAGGGAGAGGGAGAAGCAGACUCCCCGCUGAGCAGGGAGCCCGACGUGGGGCUCGAUCCCAGGACCCCGGGAUCAUGACCUGAGCCCAAGGCAGACGCUUAACCGACUGAGCCACCCAGGCGCCCCAGGGUGCUCCUUUAAACAAAAUAAGUAAAAAUGUAUGUGAUUUAGUUAUGAACCCAACAAAUGCAUAUUUUUGUACACUAAAAACAUGAGGGGUGCCUGGGUGACUCAGUUGGUUAAGCGACUACCUUCAGCUUGGGUCAUGAUCCCGGAGUCCCGGGAUCAAGUCCCGCAUCGGGCUCCCUGCUCGGUGGGGAGUUUGCUUCUCCCUCUGCCCCUCCCCUCUCGCAUGCUCUCUUUCAUUCUCUCUCUCAAAUAAAUAAAAUCUUUAA